UCAAGAUUUCGCUCCCAGCUGGCGCUCGCUCUCUACCUCUCUUUUUCCGUCGUCCAUCCCCGUGUUCAUUCUUCAGUUGAGAGGUUGCUGACAUCCUUCUACUGAUUCCUCACAUAAUCUUCGAAUUUGAGUCUCGUCUUCCAUUGACUUGGGGCUUUAGGAGGAAGAGAUCGGCCAUUGAUCCAAGCUUGUCUUUGGCUCCUACAUGUGCGAAUGUUUCCAGUCCUACCAUGCCGCUCUCCUUCUUCCCCAGCGAAUCGGAUGAGAAAUGUAAGCGCACAAAGGUUUCAUAUAAAAAGAAGAAGGAAGAUUUGUUGAAGACGGUUCGACUCAUCAGAGAGAGUUGCUAAAAUCGGAAAUCGAGAAUGGGAAGGUGUUGUGCAGCACGUUGAAAGCUCUCAACUCAAAAUUGAAGGAAAGAAAACAACAGGUAAUUUUUUCUAGUUUUUUUAUUUUUUAUUUUUAUUUUUAUUUUUCCU